rnacentral:lncRNA from 1 species
GUGGGCUUACAGGCUGGCAUCAGUGACUGACUGAAGGGCGACUGGCCCUAGUCUUCAAUUCACUGGUCCUCACUACUCUUCACUGAUUUCUACUGCUGUAUUUAGGGUUCUAUGCAACAAUUUGCCACUUUUUGAGGUACCUUUUUCUAGGCAACGUAUUUUGGUAUCACUUUCAAAUUAAUUUUGAUAGGAUGUGGUCAUGUGAAGGACAGAAACAAAGCUGUCUUUCCCACUUGUCAUCUACGAUAUGCACAAUAUAGUUCUGCGUCCCAGGCUGAAAAACCCGCAAAAAUGUGAGAAAAACUUUCUCAGCACGGCAUUGCCAACAUCACCAAAAGACAUGGACUAGGCUGUUGGUGGAUCAGAGGCAGCAGAAGGCAGCAGAAGGCAGCUGAAGUGUAUGGAUGAGCCAACUGUGGCCAAUAUAAUACAGUACACUCUGUUGUGAUAUUGGCAAAUGUGCUCCCUAUCUCCCCAGACAAUCAGUUAGCUAGCUCUAGGAUUUGCCCUUCACUCGGAGCAAUUCUUUUUAGUAACCCAGGAGGCGACUCAGAAUCAGAAUAACAAAUAGGUUUAUUGCCAAGUAAGUUUUCACAUACAAGGAAUUUGUCUUGGUUGUGUGGCUGUGUGUGUAAAAAGGGGAACAACAUAAAAGACUGUAUUUCCCCACAAAAGAAAAAAAGAGAGAUGAUACAAAUCUGAAAAUGAAUGUGAAUAUUCCAGGUAGCCAGUGGUAUGGAACGGAAUGAAACUGUGAGGAUUCCACUAGUCCUAGCUCCAUUGAAUGCCCUCGGACCGAAGCACUACAUGGAAGACUAGGACCAGGACCAAGUCAUACAUUCAACUCCAGCCAGAACCCGAUCACAAAGAUCUUGACCACAGUUAUGGACCAAACAGAGACUAAAGUGCAGUCUGCAUGUCCACAGAAGCAAUCUGCAAAGAGCAGAUCCAAGUCCACAGAGGAGGAAAAUCGAUCGAAGAAGACAUUCCACACUCCCCAGAAGUCUCUCCCGGUGCAGACCGACAUUGAGAAUAUCAAGAUGGAUUCAGCACCGCCUACGUCCUAAAACACACAUCUCUCCAAGUGCAGAAUCCAGUUGAGAGCAAUAGAGAAAACAAUUUAACAUUAACGUUCAAUAUCUUAUGCUCAUUUGUAACUUAUGUUGGGUUCUUCAUCAACCAUGGUACUGUGAGCCUUAAUUUGAAUAACACUGAUGCUCUUAAUAAACUUGAUCAAUAAAAGUGUUAAAUAGAUGCA